UAAAAUUUCUAUUGCAAUAAUGGAUAAGGC
rnacentral:piRNA from 1 species